rnacentral:rRNA from 1 species
UUUUAUGGAGAGUUUGAUCCUGGCUCAGGAUGAACGCUGGCGGCGUGCCUAAUACAUGCAAGUCGAGCGAACGGACGAGAAGCUUGCUUCUCUGAUGUUAGCGGCGGACGGGUGAGUAACACGUGGAUAACCUGCCUAUAAGACUGGGAUAACUUCGGGAAACCGGAGCUAAUACCGGAUAAUAUUUUGAACCGCAUGGUUCAAAAGUGAAAGACGGUCUUGCUGUCACUUAUAGAUGGAUCCGCGCUGCAUUAGCUAGUUGGUAAGGUAACGGCUUACCAAGGCAACGAUGCAUAGCCGACCUGAGAGGGUGAUCGGCCACACUGGAACUGAGACACGGUCCAGACUCCUACGGGAGGCAGCAGUAGGGAAUCUUCCGCAAUGGGCGAAAGCCUGACGGAGCAACGCCGCGUGAGUGAUGAAGGUCUUCGGAUCGUAAAACUCUGUUAUUAGGGAAGAACAUAUGUGUAAGUAACUGUGCACAUCUUGACGGUACCUAAUCAGAAAGCCACGGCUAACUACGUGCCAGCAGCCGCGGUAAUACGUAGGUGGCAAGCGUUAUCCGGAAUUAUUGGGCGUAAAGCGCGCGUAGGCGGUUUUUUAAGUCUGAUGUGAAAGCCCACGGCUCAACCGUGGAGGGUCAUUGGAAACUGGAAAACUUGAGUGCAGAAGAGGAAAGUGGAAUUCCAUGUGUAGCGGUGAAAUGCGCAGAGAUAUGGAGGAACACCAGUGGCGAAGGCGACUUUCUGGUCUGUAACUGACGCUGAUGUGCGAAAGCGUGGGGAUCAAACAGGAUUAGAUACCCUGGUAGUCCACGCCGUAAACGAUGAGUGCUAAGUGUUAGGGGGUUUCCGCCCCUUAGUGCUGCAGCUAACGCAUUAAGCACUCCGCCUGGGGAGUACGACCGCAAGGUUGAAACUCAAAGGAAUUGACGGGGACCCGCACAAGCGGUGGAGCAUGUGGUUUAAUUCGAAGCAACGCGAAGAACCUUACCAAAUCUUGACAUCCUUUGACAACUCUAGAGAUAGAGCUUUCCCCUUCGGGGGACAAAGUGACAGGUGGUGCAUGGUUGUCGUCAGCUCGUGUCGUGAGAUGUUGGGUUAAGUCCCGCAACGAGCGCAACCCUUAAGCUUAGUUGCCAUCAUUAAGUUGGGCACUCUAAGUUGACUGCCGGUGACAAACCGGAGGAAGGUGGGGAUGACGUCAAAUCAUCAUGCCCCUUAUGAUUUGGGCUACACACGUGCUACAAUGGACAAUACAAAGGGCAGCGAAACCGCGAGGUCAAGCAAAUCCCAUAAAGUUGUUCUCAGUUCGGAUUGUAGUCUGCAACUCGACUACAUGAAGCUGGAAUCGCUAGUAAUCGUAGAUCAGCAUGCUACGGUGAAUACGUUCCCGGGUCUUGUACACACCGCCCGUCACACCACGAGAGUUUGUAACACCCGAAGCCGGUGGAGUAACCUUUUAGGAGCUAGCCGUCGAAGGUGGGACAAAUGAUUGGGGUGAAGUCGUAACAAGGUAGCCGUAUCGGAAGGUGCGGCUGGAUCACCUCCUUUCUAA